rnacentral:rRNA from 1 species
CGCAACCCUUAUCCCUAGUUGCCAGUCAGGUAAAGCUGGGAACUCUGGGGAGACUGCCGGUGAGUAAACCGGAGGAAGGCGGGGAUGACGUCAAGUCCUCAUGGCCCUUACAUCCCGGGCUACACACGUGCUACAAUGGCAGGUACAGAGGGCUGCGAAGCCGCGAGGUGGAGCGAAAUCCCAGAAAACCUGUCUCAGUCCGGAUUGAAGUCUGCAACUCGACUUCAUGAAGGCGGAAUCGCUAGUAACCGCGAAUCAGCAGGUCGCGGUGAAUACGUUCCCGGGCCUU